UGCUUUGCGGAUAUUCAUCUAGGCUGCCUGUUCGGAAAACCCCAACACAAUGGAACUGGCCAUCGUGAAAUUGGGACUGCCGUGACUGAUGAAGGAUAUUAUGGAACAGAAUGAUAAAGGGAUUGUUUCCACUUUUCCAUCACUGACAUGGAUUGACCUGCAUGAAGUGCUACUUCCAUUUUCAUUGGUCUCUUUCAAUCAUCCUCUCUCCUGCCCAAAAGCCUGUGGUGAGGGGGACGGUGAGCCUGGAUGGCAGUUGGCAGAGAGAUGGCAGCGUGGAAGCAUGGGCAUCUAGAGAUCAAGCCCAGCACAGGACAGAAAUCAAGCCCUCGUGGGGAAAGCACAGCAUGGAUCAACUGAGGGCCAUGGCUAAAGAAGGACUGUAAUGUUGAACUUCUAGCUUACUUCUUUAUUUUUCUACUUUUUAACCUAAGAUUUUGUACCAACGUAACUUGUAUCUAAGAUGACUUCGUGAAUAACAUUGUGUAAUUUUCACUUUACUCCUGUAUCGCUGAAACCUAGCGAUAGGAAAACCUAGUUCAAAUGUUGUUUCGGGGCAAUUUACAGCCAAUAAAGUUUAGUAUGUGUA